GAGGCCAGCACCAGCUUUGGGCCCAAAUCCACAGCCACAACUCGAGAGGCCAGCACCAGCCCUAGGCUGUAAAGCUACAGUUACAGCCACAGAGGCCCAUAGCAGCCCUGGGGCUAAAGCCACAUCUACAGCCAGAAAGGCUGGCACUGGCCCCAGGCCUAAAGCCAAAGCCCGAAGGGCAGUACCAGCCCUGGGGACCAAAGACACAGCCCAAGAGGCUGGAACCAGUCCAGGGACUUAAAGCCAUAGCCACAGCCCGAGAAGCCAGCACCGACCCUGGAGCAUACAGAUGUGCAUUCCUAUUGCUUCCUAUUAGUUCUCCUGGGACUCCAUUGACCACUAUGAGGCCAUAUUGUUCUUUACUGGUUUUUAUUGGGCUGCACAUGAAUCAUCUUCACUUCUCCGUUAUUUUCUUCAAAUAACUGCAUUGGGUGACCCUGGUGUUGUUUCCUACAAUUGGGAUCUGGGAGGCGUCCAUCUCUUUCACUUUUGAUGGAAACACAGAAAUGAUGUGGGCACUCGUUGAGGUCACAAUCAUCACCAGGGUGGGAGCGUUUGUGCCUCAGCUGGUGAGCAGCGCUCAUGCUCUGGUGAGCGUGCUGCAUGCAGAGACUGAGCUGUGAGCCUUUCUUGAGAGAGAUCACCUUGUGAGAGCCCGUCGGAAGCACUGCUGCAGCGUGUGUGUGAGCUGGGCACAGCUUAGGCUGACCAGGCUGAACUGGUGAGCUGCAUUUGAUGCUGGGUGGUUGCUGGGAGGUGUCUCAACAGAAAAUCUGAUCUGGGGAGGAGUUCCCAACUCCAGCAGUGCCCAUCAGCAUGACUGUUUCCAGGGGAAAUGGGUUCUUGGUGAGAUUCCAUCCUGUAUUUCAGUGAGGAUGAUGAAAUGUCAUUACUCUCCUGGAAAUUCACUGCCAGACCCCCACCUUCAUGUCAGACAUUAUAAAGCAAGAAGAGUACAGACUUCACAGAGAGGAACUUGUGCGUCACUGCCCCAUGGAUGGCUGGGCGCAGAGCUACUGAGGAGUUGGAGAAGAGCACUUGCUGACAUAAGCCAUGGCAGUCAGAGACAAGCUGGAGCUAGCAUUAGGCAGCUCUGGCAGCCAGCUGAUUUCCAGAUGUUGCCCUCUUCGAGAGGCCGAAUGGCAUGAAUGAAGAAAGCUGGGAAAAUGCUUCUUCCUCAUUAAUUUUCACUUGUUGAUACUUUCUGCAGCUUUCAUGUCCAAACAGAGAUUUUGGGGAUAAAGGCAGUCCUAGGAAGAGUGAAGCCAGCUCUUUCCAGGAGCGAGGGAGGUUCCUGUGGAGAGAGCCCUCAGAACUUGGGCUUCCUCUGAGACUUCAGCGGUCAUGUCUCAGCAAGGAGACCAAUUCCUGCUCUGUGUGUGGAAAGAAGCAGUGCGGUGCGGUUCCCUGCAUUUGGGAGCAGCAGCCAGCAGGCUGCCAGAGAUCCAACUGCACCUUGCAGCGCACAGAGGGAUGUGAUAGGGAUGGAUCACCCUUAGCACCACGCAAAAGGAUGGAGCCUGGGUGUCCACGGGAUGGAGCUGGGCAUGGAGGGAAAUGGAAAGCCUCCACACAAGGCGAUGCAAGCGGCCUUCCAGCGAAGUGCAGCCUUGUGAAAAGUCUGGGGAGGAAUACAGGGCGUAACAUGGCACCCAAGAGAGCAAGAAGACAAAGACAAAAAGAGAGGAGAAUGGAAAUGAUGAAGGCUGCUCUGAGAGCUGCCGCUGCACGUACAGAGUCCUCCACAGUGAACAGCCUUGUGGAAAUGAUGCAGAAACUGCAGCUGAAGGACUGAAAGGAAGAGCAUCAGAAGGCAGUGGCUGCAGUGAGUGGUGUUACAGGGCAGCGCUGCGAGUGCCGCCUGACUCGGCACUCCACGUCUUAUCUGGUUGUGCUCAAUCAAUAAACAAUCACAAUUAUGGAUUCACAAAGGGCGCACAGCCUGAUUUGUCCAGCAGCAUUUCAUGAGCUGCUGCACGACUUCUGGUCCAGAGUAGCAUCUCUGCAGCUUCAGCCCACCAAGCCCCCGUCCUGUUCUUCGAGGCAGUGUUCCGAGUGCUAUUGCUGUUGCUGAUACCUGAGGAUGCCCAUGGAGCUCCGUGGAUCACAGGACAUGGCCACUGCACUCUGCUCCACCCCCUGUGCCUCUGAACGUGGUGUUCUCUGUGCAGGCCUGCCCUUGUGCAAACCCACGUGCAGACAUUGCAAUCCCAUCCCUUUGCACAGAGCUGUGCAUGUCCAUCUCUGUAAACACACACAUAUGAACACACACCCACAUGGGCCACCCCACCACACAGCCUCAUGCAAAGACAAAUUUGUGUGCAUGUUUGCAAAACCAACAGUCUACCUGCAAACCCCUUCUUGCAAACUCCCAUGUGCAAUGCACAUCCUGACAUGCAUCUCCAUCCUUGCACCCCCUGUAAGCAGACAUACUGUCAAUCUUUAUCGCUGGACAGUGAAAUACUCCUGGCAGUGAAUUCUCUCUCUGUACCACUGGUUUUGUAGUUGUCAUUGUUACAUUUGCCUGGAUGUCACUCUGGGUUUUCUGUAUGUGUCCCUUUCUGAAAUUGUACUUCUCACUGGGGAAGCCCCUCACAACCUCUUCU